UAUNGGUCAAUGGGCGCGAGCCUGAACCAGCNAAGUAGCGUGAAGGAUGACGGCCCCAUGGGUUGUAAACUUCUUUUAUAUGUGAAUAAAGUUUGGUAUGUAUACCAUUUUGUAUGUACCAUAUGAAUAAGGAUCGGUUAACUUCGUGCCAGAUGCCGCGGUAAUACGGAGGAUCCGAGCGUUAUCCGGUUUUAUUGGGUUUAAAGGGAGCGUAGGUGGACAGUUAAGUCAGUUGUGAAAGUUUGCGGCUCAACCGUAAAAUUGCAGUUGAUACUGGCUGUCUUGAGUACAGUAGAGGUGGGCGGAAUUCGUGGUGUAGCGGUGAAAUGCUUAGAUAUCACGAAGAACUCCGAUUGCGAAGGCAGCUCACUGGACUGCAACUGACACUGAUGCUCGAAAGUGUGGGUAUCAAACAG
rnacentral:rRNA from 1 species